CGCUCCUCAGCUGUCAGCGACUCUUGUAGCCGGCCGGCUGCCUAGGUGUGCCCCCCCGACCCUACCGGAGACACCAGCAUGGUGCGCGCCAGCACCGUGGGGGCGCAUCUCCCCGCGUCCGGCUUGGACAUCUUCGGGGACCUGAGGAAGAUGAACAAGCGCCAGCGGCAGCAUGGAGCCAGCCUUUCACAGGGGCGACCUUCUGUUCCUAACGAAUUUCCGGGAAGACCCCAUUAGAGCUGGAGAAAUCGUUGUUUUCAAAGUCGAAGGACGAGACAUCCCAAUAGUUCACAGAGUAAUCAAAGUUCACGAAAAAGACAAUGGAGAUAUCAAAUUUCUGACUAAAGGAGAUAAUAAUGAAGUUGAUGAUAGAGGCUUG